CCUACGGGAGGCAGCAGUGGGGAAUUUUGGACAAUGGGCGAAAGCCUGAUCCAGCAAUGCCGCGUGCAGGAAGAAGGCCUUCGGGUUGUAAACUGCUUUUGUACGGAACGAAACGGUCUGCUUUAAUACAGUGGGCUAAUGACGGUACCGUAAGAAUAAGCACCGGCUAACUACGUGCCAGCAGCCGCGGUAAUACGUAGGGUGCGAGCGUUAAUCGGAAUUACUGGGCGUAAAGCGUGCGCAGGCGGUUAUAUAAGACAGUUGUGAAAUCCCCGGGCUCAACCUGGGAAUUGCAUCUGUGACUGUAUAGCUAGAGUACGGUAGAGGGGGAUGGAAUUCCGCGUGUAGCAGUGAAAUGCGUAGAUAUGCGGAGGAACACCGAUGGCGAAGGCAAUCCCCUGGACCUGUACUGACGCUCAUGCACGAAAGCGUGGGGAGCAAACAGGAUUAGAUACCCUGGUAGUCCACGCCCUAAACGAUGUCAACUGGUUGUUGGGUGCAUUAGUACUCAGUAACGAAGCUAACGCGUGAAGUUGACCGCCUGGGGAGUACGGCCGCAAGGUUGAAACUCAAAGGAUUGACGGCUGAGACGNGCGACGGACGACGACGAGGGAGGAGG
rnacentral:rRNA from 1 species